CUUUGGAAGGUGCAAUCCA
rnacentral:snRNA from 1 species